rnacentral:pre_miRNA from 1 species
UUAAGGGGCCUGAUCCAAAGCCCAUUGAAGUCAAUGGGAGUCUUUCCACUGACCUCAAUAGACUUUAGAUCAGGCUCUCAUUAG